GACACGGACCAAAGGGGUGUGACAGAGACCAAGGGGGUGUGACAGAGACCGAGGGGUAUGACACCGGCCAAAGGGGUGGGACCAAGUCCGACAAAAGGGCACACCGCAGCUGCCUGUCUGGCCUGUUCAAGAGCCUGGCCACAUGGCCCAUGGGCACCCCAACAGCUGAGCCAAAAAUCACUGCUUGCAUCCUCUGAGCACUCCAAGCUCCUGCACAUCCCUGCUUCCACAGCCAAGCACCCCCGGAGCGACAGGCACCAACAGGU